AUAUUCCCAUCAGAAGGGCAUUGGAGCACCAGGAAGAGCUGAAACCAGUAAAGACUGAGUUUAUUAAAGAGGACAGUGAGAACAUGAGUGAUCCAGAACCCUGCAGAAUGAAACACACUGAAGAUACUGAAGAACAAAGAGAUGGCGUGUAUUAAAGAUGAGUCUGAAGACAUGAAGAUUGAUUUUAUUAAAGAAGAGACUAAAGAAAUAAAGAUUGAAGAAACAUUCAGUGUGAAACAUGAAGACACUGAGGAACAAACAGACCUGAUGGCACUGAAAGAAGCGAGUCAUGAACUUGAUGAAAGGCAAGAAGAGGAAGAACAUUAUUAUAAACAUAAUUUCAUGACUGGGGAAAGAUCAACACAAGCUUCAUCACAAAAAAGAGCUCAAAAGACUGGA